UACGGGGGGAGCAAGCGUUGUUCGGAUUUACUGGGCGUAAAGGGCGGGUAGGCGGCCACCGCAGGUCAGUUGUGAAAUCUCCGGGCUUAACCCGGAAAGGUCAACUGAUACUGCGGGGCUAGAGUGCAGAAGGGGCAACUGGAAUUCUCGGUGUAGCGGUGAAAUGCGUAGAUAUCGAGAGGAACACCUGCGGCGAAGGCGGGUUGCUGGGCUGACACUGACGCUGAACUGCGAAAGCUAGGGGAGCGAACGGG
rnacentral:rRNA from 1 species